AACUGCGAGUGAAGCGGCAAGAGCUCAGAUUUGAAACCUGCCGUCUCCGGCGGCCGGAUUGUAAUCUGGAGAGACAUCUUCGGAGGGGAGCCGGUCCAAGUUCCCUGGAACAGGACGUCAGAGAGGGUGAGAACCCCGUGUCUGGCCGGCCCGCCCCUCUAUGUGAAGUGUCUUCGACGAGUCGAGUUGUUUGGGAAUGCAGCUCAAAAUGGGUGGUAAACCUCAUCUAAAGCUAAAUAUUGGCGGGAGACCGAUAGCGCACAAGUAGAGUGAUCGAAAGAUGAAAAGUACCUUGAAAAGGGGGUCAAACAGUACGUGAAAUUGUUGAAAGGGAAGCGCUUGAGACCAGACUCGGGUUGGGGUGAUCAGCGGUACUUUCUGUGCCGUGCACUCGCCCCCGCCCGGGCCAGCAUCGGUUGGGACGGCGGGAUAAAGGGCCUGGGAAUGUAGCUCCCCUCGGGGAGUGUUAUAGACCGGGCCGUAAUGCCGCCUUCGCGACCGAGGACCGCGCUUCGGCUAGGAUGCUGGCGUAAUGGUCUUCAGCGACCCGUCUUGAAACACGGACCAAGGAGUCUAACAUCUAUGCGAGUGUUCGGGUGGAAAACCCCUGCGCGUAAUGAAAGUGAACGGAGGUGGGCGCCCCUCGCCGGGCACACCAUCGACCGAUCCUGAUGUCUUCGGAUGGAUUUGAGUAGGAGCAUAGCUGUUGGGACCCGAAAGAUGGUGAACUAUGCCUGAAUAGGGUGAAGCCAGAGGAAACUCUGGUGGAGGCUCGCAGCGGUUCUGACGUGCAAAUCGAUCGUCAAAUUUGGGUAUAGGGGCGAAAGACUAAUCGAACCGUCUAGUAGCUGGUCCUGC
rnacentral:rRNA from 1 species